rnacentral:lncRNA from 1 species
AUUGACAUCUAUCAUGACCUUUUUUUGGAGAUGAUAGUAUAUGUAUGCACAGUGGUUUUUGAAUUUGAAUAUUCUAUUUGAGUGUAUAAAUCACAGUGUUGUUUUUGUGAUUUCUCAAAGGCUGGGUUGAUGAUAAAGAUGUAUUAUCAUUAAUAUAUAACACAGCAAUAUAUAAAAAUCCAUAAUUCAUUUAUGAAAAAUAUAAUAGAGCUACAGUAUCAUUAAGCGAAAACAGUUUUAAAUGGAAGGAUAACAAUAAAUUUUGCAGAGUCGCAGCAUCGAUCUGCUACUUAGUCAUAUAAAAAACAACAAAAAAAAGACAUAGCUAAUUAAUUGGUAACAGAUAAUAGUUAUGCUGGAUCGCUGGAAAACCGUUUGGUGAGUUUUGGGGCGCAAACCCAGCAAGCUACAAGAGCUGAGAUGAUGAAGAGCGCCACAAAGACGAUGGUUAGGAUGAAACCUGUUUCCAUUUUUUCUUGAUCAAACCACCAAGCCUUUGGGUCUUUCUAAUUUUUCUUCUCCUCUUCUUUUUCCU